UCUCUCUCUCUCUCUCCUUUACAUCUUCAAUGUCUUGUUUACAUUCAGUGGUGAGUGGUCCAUUGUGAGAUGAAGUUAUGGUGAAUUAUCCCAUUGAGAACUGUGGGGAGGACUCACUCCGCCCAGCACUGCGGUCAACAUUUUUUUUCAAAGGGCUAAACUGACCCACAAGAACGACGUCUAAAUAUAACGUAGUGAUGAUGAAACCUGAAUGUUGACUCAAGUGAUUCUUCCUUCUCGUGCAGGAGAUAAUGUCGCGGCACUUAAGUAAGGUUAUGACUACUUUAUUGUAUACUUGAAUAGAGCGAAUAAGACGAUUGAAAAUUACGAAAUAAACUUGCUGUGCUUCCGCGGCGGUAAAAGGACAGCACGAGUUUCAUAUUCCAGAGGCUGAUGAGCUUCAUGAGAUUACCGAGGAGUCUGGACCUUCAUCUACGAGUCUAUGUAUGUAUAGGAAGGUGAGGUCGGGGAAGUAGACUGAGUGGACCGACCAACAAAGAUGCAUUAGAGAAACUGUCAAAAGUUCACCACUUCCUUCACUCAUCCUGCAGUGGCCCA